GCGGGGAUAGCUCAAUUGGGAGAGCGUCAGAUUGAAAAUUUGAAGGCCGUGUGUUCGAUCCACGCUCAUCGCU
rfam:Jatropha curcas cultivar GZQX0401 scaffold1078_15, whole genome shotgun sequence.